CUCCUAGAAUCCUAACCCAAAAUGUGACUAUAAAACGAGCCGAACGUUAAAACCGCCUUCUCUCUCUCACUCUCUCUCUCCCUCUUAUUUCCUCUCUCUUUUGCUCCGUCGAGAUUUCAUAAUAAAAACUUCGCGUUUGUUUUCCCGGCGAUUUUCCGAGAGAAAACGUAAGCAACCUAAAACUAAAAACCUAAUAUUUUCCACAAAUUUCCCUUCGAUUUCUCCCGAUAGAAUCACAAAUCUUGUGCUGGAGAUAGACAGAGGCUCUGAUCUGGUGCUGUGUGGUGUCGUGUGGCUUCUCUUUGCUCUGAGUCGUCGCUCGACGGUAAAUGGUGUGUCUCGGUGAGAGAGAGCGAUUGGUGGUGAAGUCGUCCAUGGCGGUGGCUCCGGAGCGAACGGCGGCGAAGCCUCUCCACAAUUUCGAUUUGCCGUGCCUGAAGUGGGGGAGCCAGAGAUACCUCCGGUGCGUCAAGGUGAAUUCCGACGGCGGCGGACGAACCGAUCGGCGAUCCAUCGCUCAGAGAUUCGAUAGCUCGCCGAUCGAUCGCCGGCGGGAGCUGGAAUGGGAGAGGAGGAAGAGGCAGCGGUUUUUCUCGAAGCCGGGGAAAAUCGAGGACGAGAAGGAUGACGCUGGCGAAGAAGGGAUCGCGGCGGUGAGGGAGAAGCUCAUGUGCGAUCUCAAGAAGGCGGCGGACAAGAUGAAGUACGCGAUUUUCCGGAAGGAGGCGGCAGCGGAGGAGGGGGUAGGUGACGCCGAUGAGGAUGACGAAGACGAUGAUGACGACGUGGCGGCGUCGGCGAACGGUGAGAAAUCCUCUCCGGCGUCGGUGGCUGUUGUGGUGGAGGAGGCGAGGCCGUGGAAUCUGAGGACGAGGAGAGCGGCGUGUAAGGCUCCGGCGAAGGGGUUGAGAAUUGAGGACAGAAAGGCAGUUGCCUCACCGUUGAGGACUGAGGGGAACAACGGCAACGGCGCAAGGUCGCCGAGGCUCGUCAGAGGGAUUCCGCCGGAGAAGGAGAGAGUCAACUUCUCGGUGGCGCUCGAGAAGAAGGAGAUCGAGGAGGAUUUCAUGGAGCUUUUGGGCCACAGGCCGCCUCGCAGGCCCAAGAAGCGUCCCAGGAUCGUUCAGAAGCAAUUGGAUACUUUGUUUCCGGGGCUGUUGUUGAGGGAGGUAACCGCAGAGACGUACAAGGUUCCAGAGGUCCCUGAAAACGGCAGGCAGAGGUAGCAAUGCGAGUGAAAGGUGGUUCUGAGCGAAGUGUCGAGGCCUGAGUUCUCUGACUAUGCUGUAAUGUCAAGCAAAGCAACUGGAUCUUGUUUGCUUUGGGCCUGUCUAUGGAAGGAGUCUGUAAGCGUUCGUGUUGAAGCAACGGGAUCUUGUUUGCUUUGGGCCUCUGUCUGUAGAGAUUAGACAAGGGAGUGGGUUUCAUGAUGCGCCUACGGUGUGAGUCCCAUGGCAUGAGGCCCACUUCCUGACUACUUGUAUAACAUUUUUUGUUUUGUUUUUCUGCUCUGUUUUGUUUUGUUCUUUAAAUAACUGGAUAGAGAUAUCCGAAGUCUAGGGAAUCAACAAUGGAAGCAUAGAUGUAAAUUCACCACUAAAUUAAGCGCCUUACAUAAAACCCCAUUAUCUAUCUCAGUUUUACCUCUUUUUUUUGUUUUUUUUUUUCCACAUCUAAAAUACGC